rnacentral:rRNA from 1 species
GAUGAACGCUGGCGGCGUGCCUAAUACAUGCAAGUCGAGCGAACGGACGAGAAGCUUGCUUCUCUGAUGUUAGCGGCGGACGGGUGAGUAACACGUGGAUAACCUACCUAUAAGACUGGGAUCACUUCGGGAAACCGGAGCUAAUACCGGAUAAUAUUUUGAACCGCAUGGUUCAAAAGUGAAAGACGGUCUUGCUGUCACUUAUAGAUGGAUCCGCGCUGCAUUAGCUAGUUGGUAAGGUAACGGCUUACUAAGGCAACGAUGCAUAGCCGACCUGAGAGGGUGAUCGGCCACACUGGAACUGAGACACGGUCCAGACUCCUACGGGAGGCAGCAGUAGGGAAUCUUCCGCAAUGGGCGAAAGCCUGACGGAGCAACGCCGCGUGAGUGAUGAAGGUCUUCGGAUCGUAAAACUCUGUUAUUAGGGAAGAACAUAUGUGUAAGUAACUGUGCACAUCUUGACGGUACCUAAUCAGAAAGCCACGGCUAACUACGUG